rnacentral:lncRNA from 1 species
UGAACUGUGAGCCAGGAUGAACCUUCCUCUGAUAAGUUGCUUUUUAUCAGGCGCCAGAUCUCAACAACGAGGAGAGGAGCUAAUUGCAAAUGUGUACCGGGAAUGCAAUUAAUAAAACUGUCACAGAAGAUUUUAAAAAGAGAGUAGAAAAUGUCCUGGUCGCAGCAUGGAAGGCAAUUGGAGAAGUUAAGUGGCGGGUGCUGCGUUGGUUUCCUGGGCCCUUCUGAGCAUUAGCGGGGGAGCAGACAUCUUGGGAUGGAGUUAGUAAUGGAAGAGAAAGAAGAGAUCAGAUAUGCACAUGAGGUCUGGCUUGCAGGACAGGCUGGAGGUGGGGAUAGCUUUGGGAAGCUGCAGCAGAGGUCCACAGGAUGGUGUAGUGCUAUCGAAGGAUAUCAAUUUAGAGAUGCUUGAGAGGAGGCUCAGUCAGGCUGAAAGCCUUCUCUUGGAUGAAGGGUAGAGGAUGUAGAAAGAGGCCCAAGGAAGCAGGAAGGGGUGGAGGUAGGAUUCUGACCCAUGCUUGCUUUUCUCACUUCCUGUCCCAGCACACAGAGCCCGAAUUUUCACAGGAAAAUAAUCAUGCACAUAACCAACACAGACAGUAUCUCCUUGAGGUCUAUCAGGCUGUGGAAUGGACACCUCACAGCAGUGGGACGGCUGGCUGCAGGAGUUAAGAGGCUCACAAAAUGACCUGCAGUGCUGGGGAACACAGCAGGUUGUCUCUUUAAUCUAUGAAAGAAUCCAACAGUUGGAAAGCCAAGGUUUCAUCUCAUGUGGGGGAGCCACUACUCUUCAACGUUAUUGUCCAAGUCAAAGAGUGCCUGAAGUGAGUCCUAUUACCUUUCUCACAGCUAGCUAUUCUACCCUCCCUCCGUCUCCCUCCUCCUCUUUCCCUCAGUCCUUCCCUCCCUCCUUCCCUUAGUGAGUCCCUCCCAGCCUCUCUCCUUUCCACCCCUUUCUGGGUGGUGGAGGUGCACUGUAGAGGCAGACUCAUGAAUCUGACCCUCUACAAUAUAGGUUAUGUUUUCCAAACACUAAGGACAGGGCAUUCUCCAUAAGCAACAGGGAAGGACAAUAGAGUAGUCGGGCAGAGUGCUGUUCAUUCCUGUAGCAGGCCAAUACAUAGUGAAGUGUGGUCUCUGUAAGUCAUAUUUUAGUUUUCA